UACAGAGGGGGCAAGCGUUGUUCGGAAUUACUGGGCGUAAAGGGCGCGUAGGCGGCCUGCUAAGUCGAACGUGAAAUCCCUGGGCUCAACCCAGGAACUGCGUCCGAUACUGGUUGGCUUGAAUCCGGGAGAGGGACGUGGAAUUCCAGGUGUAGCGGUGAAAUGCGUAGAUAUCGGGAGGAACACCAGUGGCGAAGGCGACUACCUGGCCUGUUCUUGACGCUGAGGCGCGAAAGCUAGGGGAGCAAACGGG
rnacentral:rRNA from 1 species